rnacentral:rRNA from 1 species
CCCCAGUAACGGCGAGUGAAGCGGGAACAGCUCAAAUUUGAAAUCUGGCCCUCGGGUCCGAGUUGUAAUUUGUAGAGGAUGCUUUUGGUGCGGUGCCUUCCGAGUUCCCUGGAACGGGACGCCUUAGAGGGUGAGAGCCCCGUACGGUUGGACGCCUAGCCUCUGUAAAGCUCCUUCGACGAGUCGAGUAGUUUGGGAAUGCUGCUCUAAAUGGGAGGUAUAUUUCUUCUAAAGCUAAAUACCGGCCAGAGACCGAUAGCGCACAAGUAGAGUGAUCGAAAGAUGAAAAGCACUUUGAAAAGAGGGUUAAAUAGCACGUGAAAUUGUUGAAAGGGAAGCGUUUAUCACCAGACUUUUUCUAGGGGGAUCAUCCGGGGUUCUCCCCGGUGCACUUCCCCUAGUUGAGGCCAGCAUCGGUUUUCGGAGGGGGAUAAAAGUUUCGGGAAUGUGACUCCCCCGGGAGUGUUAUAGCCCGUUACAUAAUACCCUUCUGGGGACCGAGGUUCGCGCAUCUGCAAGGAUGCUGGCAUAAUGGUGAUCAACGACCCGUCUUGAAACACGGACCAAGGAGUCGAACAUUUAUGCGAGUGUUUGGGUGUCAAACCCUCACGCGUAAUGAAAGUGAACGGAGGUGAGAGCCCUUACGGGUGCAUCAUCGACCGAUCCUGAUGUCUUCGGAUGGAUUUGAGUAAGAGCAUAACUGUUCGGACCCGAAAGAUGGUGAACUAUGCGUGGAUAGGGUGAAGCCAGGAGAAAUCCUGGUGGAGGCUCGCAGCGGUUCUGACGUGCAAAUCGAUCGUCAAAUCUGCGCAUGGGGGCGAAAGACUAAUCGA